AUCUAUACUAUUAUUUGAGACGUACGUUAAGUGAUUCUGAAUUAA
rnacentral:sRNA from 1 species